GACGCUAGCGACAGGCCUAACACAUGCAAGUCGGAGGGCAGCAACAAGGAGCAAUCUGAGGUGGCGACCGGCGCGACGGGUGAGUAACACGUAUGACAACCUCGGCCUAGGUAAGGACGGGGAACGUAACCCGGCGAAAGUCGGACUAAUACCGCAUAAAACAGGGACACCGCAUGGUGAUAUUUGUUAAAGAAAUUCGCUGAUAGAUGGGCAUGCGUUCCAUUAGGUAGUUGGUGAGGUAACGGCUCACCAAGCCGACGAUGGAUAGGGGAACUGAGAGGUUGGUCCCCACACUGGUACUGAGACACGGACCAGACUCCUACGGGAGGCAGCAGUGAGGAAUAUUGGUCAAUGGGCGAGAGCCUGAACCAGCCAAGUCGCGUGAAGGAAAGAAGGAUCUAUGGUUCGUAAACUUCUUUUGCAGGGAAUAAAGUGCAGGACGUGUCCUGUUUUGUAUGUACCCUGAGAAUAAGGAUCGGCUAACUCCGUGCCAGCAGCUGC
rnacentral:rRNA from 1 species